CCUACGGGGGUCUGCAGUGAGGAAUAUUGGUCAAUGGACGAGAGUCUGAACCAGCCAAGUAGCGUGAAGGAUGACUGCCCUAUGGGUUGUAAACUUCUUUUAUAUUGGAAUAAAAUGUUCCACGUGUGGGAUUUUGUAUGUACCAUAUGAAUAAGGAUCGGCUAACUCCGUGCCAGCAGCCGCGGUAAUACGGAGGAUCCGAGCGUUAUCCGGAUUUAUUGGGUUUAAAGGGAGCGUAGGUGGAUUGUUAAGUCAGUUGUGAAAGUUUGCGGCUCAACCGUAAAAUUGCAGUUGAAACUGGCAGUCUUGAGUACAGUAGAGGUGGGCGGAAUGCGUGGUGUAGCGGUGAAAUGCUUAGAUAUCACGAAGAACUCCGAUUGCGAAGGCAGUUCACUGGACUGCAACUGACACUGAGGCUCGAAAGUGUGGGUAUCAAACAGGAUUAGAUACCCUAGUAGUC
rnacentral:rRNA from 1 species